CUACUUUGGUUUCUCUUCAGAUCGUAUAAAUCUUUUGCCUUUUACUAAAGAUUUCCAUGGAGAGGAACAUUUAAGAGUUUGUAACUAAUUCUUUGAGGCCCUGCU
rnacentral:snRNA from 1 species